GGAGGGGUGUCCCGAAUCCGGCAAGGGAGUGGCUUGCUAAGCCAUUGGCUGUGUAAAAAGCAGCCGUGUGGGUUCAAAUCCCACCCCCUCCG
rnacentral:tRNA from 1 species